UCUUUCUUGAUCCCCUCAUAGUACCAAGCACCAGAGCUUUUGUAGAGUAAGUUUCAUUUUGUUUUGUUGUUAUUGUUGUUUUGCUGUACCUACAGCAUGUGGAAGUUCCUGGGCUAGGGACUGAACCCUCGACACAGGAACCUGUGCCAUAGCUGCAGCAGCACUGGAUCUUUAACUUGCCUCGCCACAUGGGAACUUCCUAGAGUAAAUUUCCAAUAAGCAGUUGAUUAUUUUGUUGUUAAAUGGACACUGCAUCACAACUGCCUUUGUGCUAUAUCUAGCAGCUGAGUCUCUCAUCCGCUGUUCCCAAACAUUCGCUUAAUGAUUAUUAUGUGCCAGGCAUUGUGCAAGGCCCAGGUGGUCCUGGCUGUCAAGGAGAAUAUAGUCUGGAUGAGACAGGCAUGUAUACACAUAAUUAUGAUAGCUUAAGAUACACAGAGUACUGCAAGAGCAAAGAAGAGUGACUGAGUUCAUUUGGGAAAGUAAAUUUGAUUGGAUCUUUAAUGUGUAAAACAUUUUCAGGAAGGAAAAAAAAUGGGAAAGGCUACUCUAGGUCACAAGAACAUCAUGUACAGAAGUACUUAAGCCUAAAAAAGCAGAUGGGUUUGGAGAUUAGCAAAGCAUUAAGUAUGGAUAGAAUUUAGGUUGGGUAGGAGCUGAGUGAUGAGAGAUGAGGCCACAGCUGAACUGAGAAGAGCUUUAUAUGCCAAAAGAAUGAACUGAGAUAUUCUAUGGAGAUCAAGCAACAAAUGGAAUGUCUUGAGAAUGAAAGAAUUGUGAUUAGAUACUUGUUUUUAUUCAAAGAUGACUACCUCAUGACAAUGUGGAGAUUGGAGUAAAUAAAGAUAACGAUUAUAGAAAGACUGGCUAGGGAACAGUUACUGGCUCAAAAUAAUAAAUGCCCUGGUAAGCCAGAGGGUGGACUGGAGAGGUGUUUUUGCCAAGUCAGUAGAUGGGAAAUACAGAGAGGAAGGCGGUAAACCAGGUCUGCCUUGUGUCUAAGCUGGCAGCCGAAUGGGACUCUUAGGACUUCAUAAAAUAGGAGGAAAGGAAGGUUCUGAGUAGAAAGAGCAGUCUAGACUUAAACCCUGUCCUACCCAUUGCUGUGCAGUGUGGGUAAGCUAUUUCACUUUUCUGAACUGCAGCUGCAUCACCUACAAAAUGGAAAAAUAAUGUCUACUUUUACGGGAUUGUCAUGAGGUUAAACAGAAGUAAAACAUAGAAACACUGAGCUUAUAGCAUGAACAUGGGAGAUGCUCGGUAAAUAUUUGUUGGAUGAAGGAAACUGUCAGAAGCACAAUGACUAAUAAGACCAGGGUUUUAAACAAGGCUUGAUUAUGUGAUCUUCAGCAUGUACUCUAACUUAUUUGACACUCAGUUGCCUCACAUAUGAAACAGGGGAAAUAUGUCCUACCUCACUGGCUUGUUCAGAAGAUUAAAUCUGAUAUCCUAUGGAGACCCUGAAGUAGUCAUUGGGACAUAACUGGUGCUGAAUAAAUAUGCACUUAAUGACAGCAUCAAUUAUUUUUACUGUGUUCAUUAUAUCUGGUUUAAGAAGGUAGAGAACUACCUCAGUUUACUAAUAUUACAAUCACACAUGGAUACACAGACACAAAAGAGAAUCUUGUGUCUGGUUUUACAUUAAAAUGGUAAGCUUCCAUUAAUUGGAAAGUUAACUUAGAUAAGUGCAUCCUUCAAUAAUGUUCAAAAACUGGCAUGCUUCUCUAAUAUAUGUUAUGUAACACAAGUAUAAAGUAUAAAACUAGAAACCACCUUCAUAUCUUCUCAUUAAAAACAAAGCCAGGUACACAGUUUCUGUUCAGAGUACAGGUGACCUGCAACUUUACCCCAAAGUAGUGUUAGACUGAGAAAACUUAAGAACCACUAUUUUUAAAUAAUCUAAGCACUACCAGUAUUAAUUCAUUUUUUAAUUGCUUGAAUACCUUUGACAAUUCAUUGUGGAUACUAUUCCUGAUUAAAUAAAUGCAUUUAACUCAUAUAUUGUGGCUGUGACAGAUACUGGUAGAUAUUCCUCAGGAUCUUUUUUUCUCCACUUUGUUUUAAUAUAUGAACCUACCCUUCCACCCUUCAUGCUUCCUCCUCCACCCUAUUUUCUAGAAAUAUGGUCUCCCAGCUACAGACUACAUUUCCCAGCAUCCCUUGAAGCUAAGUAAGUUCAUGUGCUAAAGUUCUGGGCAAGGAGAGAGGAGUAGAAUUGAUAUCUUUCAUUUCUGGGUCAUCUCCUUAAAGACACUCACUCUGGACUCUCUCCUAUUUCCUUCUUCUACAGGCUGUAGCACAGACAUGACGGAAACCCAGCCUCAGUAAUGCUGAUCAGGGAAUGCACAUCAGGGAAUGGUAAUGCAGCAGAAAGGAAGCUACUUGUGUCCUUCAAUGACCUUCACCACCUGGACUGGCGGGGCCUGUAAUGUGAGAAAUACAUUUCUAUCCAUAUAACUGUUCUUAUAAGAAAGAGGCAGAGGAAGACCUGAUAUACAGAGAAGAGCAAGUUACAUGACCAUGAGACAACUUUCAGGGAUGUGGCCACAAGCCAAGGGAUGCUGGCAACCUUCAGAACUCAGGUGGAUCAAGCAAUGGAUUCCUCCCUUAGAGUCUCUGAAGCCUCUAUUAGCCUAACCUAAGGGGAAAGAGCAAGGAGAAGAAGAAAAAGAAAAAUUAAGAAAGAGAAUGCAAGCAAGAAAUAGAGGAGAAAAGAGAAGAAUCAGGGGAAAAAGAGGAGAAAUCACUCACUAAAUGGUGUAGGUCAUGUGUGAAUCAUAUUGAGAAGUUCAAAUAGCCCCUAAAUUCCACUUCUAUCAAUAUAGUGGGUAUUACAGCUAUGUCUAGGCCUGGGUCAGAAGAGGAAUUUGUCUUGAAAACAUCUGCAUGAUUCAUCCAAUAGUUGCAAUGUAGCUUACUGAAAUUUUUCUAUCAAGGUUACUAAUGACCUCUUUUCAUUUAAAAAACAGUAACCACAUAGUCAUCAAGUUCUUUACACUGACUUGCCAAACCAUGUAUCUUUCAAAAUUCUGCUCAUAACCUGCUUCUACAAAAUCUUCCCUGAACUUUACUGUUUUUCCAUUUUCUGAAUUCCUAUUAUACUCACAGGAAGUAUGUCUGUUAUUUCUGCCCCUCUAGAAAGAGGCCAGAAAUGCUUCCUGCAAAUGUCCCAGAAGGUACAAAACACCCACACCAGCAAAUAAUUAUAUUCCUAUACCUCCUAUCAGCAAUUUGCUGAAGGAUGGUCUGUAAUGGUAUCUUAUGGUGACUGAUUAUCCACUACUUAAUGCAUAUAGUCUCAUCUCCUUCAAUUCUACCUAUUUAUUGUAUUACACAAUGAUGAAUGAUAAUUGAAUUACGUCCCUGAGGCAUGCUAAAUCUAAAUCAUAAAAAAUACAUUGACAAAAUGCAUUGUCUUGCCGGUUAAGAAAAUCCACUCAUACAUUUCAGAAAAAUUUCCAACUGGAGGAGUUAAGGCCAGAAAGCAUUUCUCAUUUAUUCUAAUUAAACCCCAAAAUGCAAUUAACUGCAACCCCUCAAGUCUCUAAUAUUCAAAGCAUCUGAAGAUUGACUUUAUUACCAGAAGAGUUACAAGUUUGUCUAAAAUACACCUGAAGGUACCUGCUUUCUGGUAUUUAUUUCCCAUUAUGUGGCAAGUCUUAUACAAAUGUAAGCUUAUUUCUUUGAUAUAUGUUUCUGGCUUAACAUUUCCAAAAGGAAAGUGUGACUUUGGGGGCCUAUUUAUACUUUUCAUAUUGCACAUCUGCAUCCAGUGCAAGUGAAACUUGAAGCUCAGUUCAGCAAAGGCACAUUAUGGCAUUCCCAUCAUGUAAAAGCAGUGAAUAUAAACCACAUCACACAAUUAAGAGUCACAAACCCAGAGAAUGGUAAUAAAUUAAAUGAAACAAGUGAACUAAUUAACAUACUUUCAAAACAGAAAACUGAGACUUAAAACAUUAUAUACCUUAGCGAAAUAACAGCUGCUCUUAUUAAAAACCUUAUAUUCCAUUAGUAUGAUAUUUUGUAAUUUAUUGCUUUUCCCACCUUGGAAAAAUUAUGUUACAGUUAUGCCGGCCAUAUUAACAUUUUUUGGUCUUUUAUAAGCAGCAGCUUUUGGAAACUGGACAUUUAGCUAGCCAUUAAGUCAGAUGCUUAAGAAAAGCUUUCAUUUUUUUUUUUUUUUCUGGCG